GUGGGAGAGUCUGGAAGCUUUGAGGGCUAAUAUUUUUACAGCCAUGGAUUUUCUACGUAACCACAGGCAAACAAAAGAGAUGCAUGGAGUGGUAGAUUAAAAAUCUUGCUGAGUGGCUUUUGGUCGUGCUUGGUGGCAGAAGUACAGGUUUGGGCUUCAGCUGGCUUUUUACAAGAUGUUGCUACUGUGGGAAAACUUUCACCAAUAGUCAGUCAAGACCUUGCACACCAACCUCCUCCUUCAUUUAUCAGAACAGCCCUGGCUGCAAUACUUCUAUACCACUUAGGCAAAUGUGCUCUGAGAGCUCAGCCUGGGUCCCAACCAGAGAGCCAAACAGCAGGCAAUAGUCUUUCUUCUCAUGCUAGUACCUCUACCAACCCAAGAAGAUCUGGUGAGGUUGACAGCUGGAAGCAAGUCUUGUUGCUGUUCCAUUUCUUUGUUAUCAAUUGCAUGUGGGAAGGGAAAGGCAGUGACUUGUUCCACCAUAUAAGAAAUAUCUUCUAGGGAGCCAGUGCCAACCUUGGCAGCUAGGGAGGGUGUAUGAUAAAAUGCCAACAGCUGCAUGUGACUUUAUGUUCUCACACAGGGCCCUUGUCAGAACUUUGGGAUCUUGUAAAUGCCUCACAGACUGAUAGCAUUAAAAACUGCAUCUCCAUAGAAGUAACAUGCUUAACUUAGGCCCUAAGUGUCGAGUCACAUUCAUUAGUUAUAAUCCAUGUGUCUUUGCCUUCCUUGGGAGUCAUCAUCACCUUAUGAUUGAAGAUACUUCCACUAUGGAAUUGACAGGAAGGAUAUUUUUCUUUUAAUCAUUAGUACCAAACUGUCUGAUCAGAAUGUUUACAAUGAGUGUGCUCGUACAGAGAAGGUUGCCUAGAGAGAUUGUGGCAUUUACAUGUGGAGAUAUUAACAAAAAUAGACAUAGUCCUGGUCGAGUUGCUACCAUUGACUCUGCUUUGGGGUGGUAGUGCUUGGACUACAUGAACUCCAGGGGUCCCUUUCUAUCUCAACAAUUCUAUGGUUCUGUGAUAAGCCAAAGACACAAUAAUUCCUAGCCUUUUAGGCAGUAAUGAAAUCUCUUUUCUGACAUUUUCAUUUAGCCUAAGUAAUAAAAUGGUCAUUAGAUGACAGAAAAAAUGAGAAAAAGCAUGACUAUAGCCAGAGGGUUAGGGUAAGUCAGGUUGAAAUUUCUUGCUUCACAUAAUAUUUCAUAAUGAUAUGAAGUAUAACAGGUUUUGAGAGAAGUUCUGAGGAAGCAAAAUAUUUUUUCAGAACACCAAAUGCCUGGUGAUAAGGAAAUUUUCUGCAAUAUUGGAAGAGAUAUUUAGGUUCAGAUCUAUAUCUCCCAAAUGCCAGCUGAUGGCUCCAGUACUGGAAAUAUUAGGUACCAGUCAUCACUCAGAAAUGUAAUG